rnacentral:rRNA from 1 species
GACGAACGCUGGCGGCGUGCCUAAUACAUGCAAGUCGAGCGGACGAAUCGAAAGCUUGCUUUUGAUUCGUUAGCGGCGGACGGGUGAGUAACACGUGGGCAACCUGCCCUGUAGACGGGGAUAACACCGAGAAAUCGGUGCUAAUACCGGAUAACACGAAAUGUCGCAUGACGUUUCGUUGAAAGACGGCGCAAGCUGCCGCUACAGGAUGGGCCCGCGGCGCAUUAGCUAGUUGGUGAGGUAACGGCUCACCAAGGCGACGAUACGUAGCCGACCUGAGAGGGUGAUCGGCCACUCUGGGACUGAGACACGGCCCAGACUCCUACGGGAGGCAGCAGUAGGGAAUCUUCCGCAAUGGACGAAAGUCUGACGGAGCAACGCCGCGUGAGCGAAGAAGGCCUUCGGGUCGUAAAGCUCUGUUGUUAGGGAAGAACAAGUAACGCAGUAACUGGCGUUACCGUGACGGUACCUAACGAGAAAGCCACGGCUAACUACGUG